GGAGCGGAAGCCGAAAAGCUUUACGAGUAGGCA
rnacentral:ncRNA from 1 species